GGGGGUGAAUUAGUUUCGACGGGUAAGGCUGAGUCCGUGAUGCAGGCCGAGGCGCCUAACCUCGUUAAAAUGGGCAAGGCAAUAAGUGCCAACAACAACAACACUGCUCUGGCUUACGCCGCCUAAGGCGAUCUAGUCAGGGUGCUGGGCCAGAGUAGCCCAGCCGUCCGCUCUGAUCGGCCCUACCCGGUCAGUUAGCGGGCGUCACCAAUGGUAGGGUGCGCUUUCGGCAACGCCGAUACCCCGAAAGCAAAGAGACAACCGGCUGGUAAGUGGCGUACCGUGUUCGCUGGGGCUACCACUUACGAGAAUAAACAGCGAACUAAGCCUGUAGAUUCACGUACUCGAAUUAUUCGGACGAGAGCUGCGAUGCUCUCCACCUCCAUAC
rnacentral:tmRNA from 1 species